rnacentral:tRNA from 1 species
CAAAGUGUAGCUUAAAUCAAAGCAUCUGGUUUACACCCAGAAGAUUUCACAUCCAAUGACCACUUUGA